ACGACGCUGGCGGCAGGCUGACACAUGCUGAUCGAGCGAGAAGCUAACUUCGGUUAGUGGACAGCGGCGCACGGGUGAGUAACGCGUGGGAAUUUACCUUUCGGCGGGGGACAACAGUUGGAAACGACUGCUAAUACCGCAUACGCCCUACGGGGGAAAGAUUUAUCACCGAAAGAUAGGCCCGCGUUAGAUUAGGUAGUUGGUAGGGUCAAAGCCUACCAAGCCGACGAUCUAUAGCUGGUUUGAGAGAACGAUCAGCCACACUGGAACUGAGACACGGUCCAGACUCCUACGGGAGGCAGCAGUGGGGAAUCUUGCACAAUGGGCGAAAGCCUGAUGCAGCCAUGCCGCGUGAGUGAGAAGGCCUUCGGGUUGUAAAACUCUUUUAGAUGUGAAGAUGAUGACGGUAACAUCAGAAAAAGCACCGGCUAACUUC
rnacentral:rRNA from 1 species